GACAGAGGUCCCGAGCGUUAGGCGGAAUCACUGGGCUUAAAGCGUGUGUAGGCGGAUCCGUAAGUACCUUGUGAAAUCCCACGGCUUAACCGUGGAACUGCUUGGUAUACUGCGGGUCUUGAGCCACUUAGGGGCUACCGGAACAAAUGGUGGAGCGGUGAAAUGCGUAGAUAUCAUUUGGAACGCCAAUGGUGAAAACAGGUAGCUGGGAGUGUGCUGACGCUGAGACACGAAAGCCGGGGGAGCAAACGGG
rnacentral:rRNA from 1 species